UACGUAGGAGGCAAGCGUUGUCCGGAGUUACUGGGCGUAAAGCGCACGCAGGCGGUCGCAUCAGUCUGGGGGGACAGUUCCCGGCUUAACCGGAAAAGGACUCUGGAAACUGUGCGACUUGAGGGCUUCAGAGGGAUGUGGAAUUCCAGGUGGAGUGGUGAAAUGCGUAGAGAUCGGAAAGAACACCAACGGCGAAAGCACUCUGCUGGGCCGACACUGACACUGAGAGACGAAAGCUAGGGGAGCGAAUGGG
rnacentral:rRNA from 1 species